AACGAACGCUGGCGGCAUGCCUAACACAUGCAAGUCGAACGAGACCUUCGGGUCUAGUGGCGCACGGGUGCGUAACGCGUGGGAAUCUGCCCUUGGGUUCGGAAUAACAGUUAGAAAUGACUGCUAAUACCGGAUGAUGUCUUCGGACCAAAGAUUUAUCGCCCAGGGAUGAGCCCGCGUAGGAUUAGCUAGUUGGUGAGGUAAAGGCUCACCAAGGCGACGAUCCUUAGCUGGUCUGAGAGGAUGAUCAGCCACACUGGGACUGAGACACGGCCCAGACUCCUACGGGAGGCAGCAGUGGGGAAUAUUGGACAAUGGGCGAAAGCCUGAUCCAGCAAUGCCGCGUGAGUGAUGAAGGCCUUAGGGUUGUAAAGCUCUUUUGCCCGGGAUGAUAAUGACAGUACCGGGAGAAUAAGCCCCGGCUAACUCCGUGCCAGCAGCCGCCGUAACAC
rnacentral:rRNA from 1 species